AUCAACAUAAUAAUAGUAAAUAGCAGUGGAACUCAAUUAUCAAUCAUACUUUAUUUGUCUCAUAAAAUAAGUACUUCAUAUAAUUAAAUAACUCAAUUUUAAAAACAAAAAACGAUUAACAAAUAUUCUCGUCCUAGUGUUACAUAUUAGAGCUUCAAAGAAACUAAAUAAUACGGAAAAACAGUAAAUAAAUAAAGAGGCUUCAACACCAUCCUCCAACUCAAAUGCAGCUACUCCUCUACCUGAUUAUUUGUACUCCAAGAGAGUACAGAACACCACAAACAAAGCAAACAAGGGUGAGAAUAUGCUCAAAAUAUGUUAUUGGUGCAAAAGAUAUCAAGGGUGACAUCAUUCAUAACAAUUAUAAAUGUAUGGAUUAUUCACAACAACAACAACAACAAUUUACUCAU
rnacentral:lncRNA from 1 species